GCGACACGUAUCGGAUUUCUGGGCGUAAGCGCGCGUAGGUGGUUAAUUAAGUCAAAUGUGAAAUCCCCGAGCUUAACUUGGGAAUUGCAUUCGAUACUGGUUAGCUAGAGUAUGGGAGAGGAUGGUAGAAUUCCAGGUGUAGCGGUGAAAUGCGUAGAGAUCUGGAGGAAUACCGAUGGCGAAGGCAGCCAUCUGGCCUAAUACUGACACUGAGGUGCGAAAGCAUGGGGAGCAAACAGGAUUAGAUACCCUGGUAGUCCAUGCCGUAAACGAUGUCUACUAGCCGUUGGGGGAUUUGAUCCUUUAGUGGCGCAGCUAACGCGAUAAGUAGACCGCCUGGGGAGUACGGUCGCAAGACUAAAACUCAAAUGAAUUGACGGGGGCCCGCACAAGCGGUGGAGCAUGUGGUUUAAUUCGAUGCAACGCGAAGAACCUUACCUGGCCUUGACAUAGUAGAGACUUUCCAGAGAUGGAUUGGUGCCUUCGGGAAUCUACAUACAGGUGCUGCAUGGCUGUCGUCAGCUCGUGUCGUGAGAUGUUGGGUUAAGUCCCGCAACGAGCGCAACCCUUUUCCUUACUUGCCAGCAUUUCGGAUGGGAACUUUAAGGAUACUGCCAGUGACAAACUGGAGGAAGGCGGGGACGACGUCAAGUCAUCAUGGCCCUUACGGCCAGGGCUACACACGUGCUACAAUGGUCGGUACAAAGGGUUGCUACACAGCGAUGUGAUGCUAAUCUCAAAAAGCCGAUCGUAGUCCGGAUCGCAGUCUGCAACUCGACUGCGUGAAGUCGGAAUCGCUAGUAAUCGCGGAUCAGAAUGCCGCGGUGAAUACGUUCCCGGGCCUUGUACACACCGCCCGUCACACCAUGGGAGUUUGAUGCACCAGAAGUAAGUAGUCUAACCGCACGACGACCGCUUACCACCGGUGUGGCCGAUGACUGGGCUGAGUCAUACAAGGAAACGAAUAAAA
rnacentral:rRNA from 1 species